rnacentral:tRNA from 1 species
GUCUGGGUAGCUCAGUCAGUAGAGCAUUGGACUUUCAGUCUGAGGGUCCAAGGUUCAAGUCCCUGUCCAGGCA